AGCGAACGCUGGCGGCAGGCUUAACACGUGCAAGUCGAGCGGGCAUCCUUGUGGUGUCAGCGGCAGACGGGUGAGUAACGCGUGGGAACGUGCCCUUCGGUUCGGAAUAACUCAGGGAAACUUGAGCUAAUACCGGAUACGUGCGAGAGCAGAAAGGUUUAUCUGCCGAAGGAUCGGCCCGCGUCUGAUUAGCUAGUUGGUGAGGUUACGGCUCACCAAGGCGACGAUCAGUAGCUGGUCUGAGAGGAUGAUCAGCCACACUGGGACUGAGACACGGCCCAGACUCCUACGGGAGGCAGCAGUGGGGAAUAUUGGACAAUGGGGGCAACCCUGAUCCAGCCAUGCCGCGUGAGUGAUGACGGCCUUAGGGUUGUAAAGCUCUUUUCUCCGGGACGAUAAUGACGGUACCGGAGGAAUAAGCCCCGGCUAACUUCGUG
rnacentral:rRNA from 1 species